CCUCAAAAUAAUAAGGGUCGAGGUUAGCCGGUGAGGCGAUGGGAUAUAAGCUUCAUCGUCGAAAGAAAAAUAGCCUGGAUCACCAUCUAAGGCGCCUAAAUGACCGUUCAAUGAUAAAGGAGGUAAAGGUGUAGAGAUAGCUAGGAGGUUUGCCUAGAAGUAGCCACCCUUGAAAGAGUGCGUAAUAGCUCAUUGAUCAAGCGCUCUUGAGCCAAAGAUGAACUGGUACUCGAACAUUGGCUCAUGGCAUUUUCUCUACCCUUCUUAUCCUGAAAAAGCAAGG
rfam:Gossypium arboreum cultivar AKA8401 contig_7999_9, whole genome shotgun sequence.